GUUCUUGCUUCAGCAGCACGUAUACUAAAAUUAGAAAAAUACAGAGAAGAUUAGCAUGGCCCCUGCACAAGGAUGACACGUAAAUUCGUGAAGCAUUCCAUAUAUUU
rnacentral:snRNA from 1 species